rnacentral:rRNA from 1 species
GAUGAACGCUGGCGGCGUGCUUAACACAUGCAAGUCGAACGAUGAAGCCCAGCUUGCUGGGUGGAUUAGUGGCGAACGGGUGAGUAACACGUGAGUAACCUGCCCUUAACUCUGGGAUAAGCCUGGGAAACUGGGUCUAAUACCGGAUAGGAGCGUCCACCGCAUGGUGGGUGUUGGAAAGAUUUAUCGGUUUUGGAUGGACUCGCGGCCUAUCAGCUUGUUGGUGAGGUAAUGGCUCACCAAGGCGACGACGGGUAGCCGGCCUGAGAGGGUGACCGGCCACACUGGGACUGAGACACGGCCCAGACUCCUACGGGAGGCAGCAGUGGGGAAUAUUGCACAAUGGGCGCAAGCCUGAUGCAGCGACGCCGCGUGAGGGAUGACGGCCCUCGGGUGGUAAACCUCUUUCAGUAGGGAAGAAGCGAAAGUGACGGUACCGGCAGAAGAAGCACCGGCUAACUACGU